GAUGAACGCUGGCGGCGUGCCUAAUACAUGCAAGUCGAGCGAACAGAUGAGGAGCUUGCUCCUCUGACGUUAGCGGCGGACGGGUGAGUAACACGUGGAUAACCUACCUAUAAGACUGGGAUAACUUCGGGAAACCGGAGCUAAUACCGGAUAAUAUAUUGAACCGCAUGGUUCAAUAGUGAAAGACGGUUUUACUGUCACUUAUAGAUGGAUCCGCGCCGCAUUAGCUAGUUGGUAAGGUAACGGCUUACCAAGGCAACGAUGCGUAGCCGACCUGAGAGGGUGAUCGGCCACACUGGAACUGAGACACGGUCCAGACUCCUACGGGAGGCAGCAGUAGGGAAUCUUCCGCAAUGGGCGAAAGCUUGACGGAGCAACGCCGCGUGAGUGAUGAAGGUCUUCGGAUCGUAAAACUCUGUUAUUAGGGAAGAACAAAUGUGUAAGUAACUAUGCACGUCUUGACGGUACCUAAUCAGAAAGCCAUGGCUAACUACGUG
rnacentral:rRNA from 1 species